rnacentral:rRNA from 1 species
CACAGAGGGGGCAAGCGUUGUCCGGAAUUACUGGGCGUAAAGGGCGCGUAGGCGGCCUGUUAAGUCGAACGUGAAAUCCCCGGGCUCAACCCGGGAACUGCGUCCGAUACUGGCAGGCUUGAAUCCGGGAGAGGGAUGCGGAAUUCCAGGUGUAGCGGUGAAAUGCGUAGAUAUCUGGAGGAACACCGGUGGCGAAGGCGGCAUCCUGGACCGGCAUUGACGCUGAGGCGCGAAAGCCAGGGGAGCAAACGGG